rfam:Populus trichocarpa scaffold_10_contig_278, whole genome shotgun sequence.
CUUCACUUUCUUUUCAAGAGCAGAAAAUUUUGCUUUUUGGAAGCUGGUGAGGUAAUUAGGCAGCGGCCAGACAACCGUAGGGAUGAUUCCACAGAUGACGGGCUGUUAAUCCCGCUUUGUCUACUGAUUCCAUCUCACAUUU